rnacentral:rRNA from 1 species
GACGUAGGGGGCAAGCGUUGUCCGGAAUUAUUGGGCGUAAAGAGCUCGUAGGCGGCUUGUCGCGUCGACUGUGAAAUCCCGAGGCUCAACUUCGGGCUUGCAGUCGAUACGGGCAGGCUAGAGUUCGGUAGGGGAGACUGGAAUUCCUGGUGUAGCGGUGAAAUGCGCAGAUAUCAGGAGGAACACCGAUGGCGAAGGCAGGUCUCUGGGCCGAUACUGACGCUGAGGAGCGAAAGCGUGGGGAGCGAACAGG